rnacentral:tRNA from 1 species
GGUGUGGUGAAGCGGUAACACAGCGGACUUUGACUCCGUCAUUCGUAGGUUCGAAUCCUGCCGC